rnacentral:rRNA from 1 species
UGCAGUCGACGAUGAGCUUCUAGCUUGCUAGAAGUGGAUUAGUGGCGCACGGGUGAGUAAGGUAUAGUUAAUCUGCCCUACACAAGAGGACAACAGUUGGAAACGACUGCUAAUACUCUAUAUUCCUGCUUAACACAAGUUGAGUAGGGAAAGUUUUUCGGUGUAGGAUGAGACUAUAUAGUAUCAGCUAGUUGGUAAGGUAAUGGCUUACCAAGGCUAUGACGCUUAACUGGUCUGAGAGGAUGAUCAGUCACACUGGAACUGAGACACGGUCCAGACUCCUACGGGAGGCAGCAGUAGGGAAUAUUGCGCAAUGGGGGAAACCCUGACGCAGCAACGCCGCGUGGAGGAUGACACUUUUCGGAGCGUAAACUCCUUUUCUUAGGGAAGAAUUCUGACGGUACCUAAGGAAUAAGCACCGGCUAACUCCGUGCCAGCAGCCGCGGUAAUACGGAGGGUGCAAGCGUUACUCGGAAUCACUGGGCGUAAAGGGCGCGUAGGCGGAUUAUCAAGUCUCUUGUGAAAUCUAAUGGCUUAACCAUUAAACUGCUUGGGAAACUGAUAGUCUGGAGUGAGGGAGAGGCAGAUGGAAUUGGUGGUGUAAGGGGGUAAAAUCCCGUAGAUUAUCAACCAAGGAAUACCCAUUGCGAAGGCGAUCUGCUGGAACUCAACUGACGCUAAGGCGCGAAAGCGUGGGGAGCAAACAGGAUUAGAUACCCUGGUAGUCCACGCCCUAAACGAUGUACACUAGUUGUUGGGGGUGCUAGUCAUCUCAGUAAUGCAGCUAACGCAUUAAGUGUACCGCCUGGGGAGUACGGUCGCAAGAUUAAAACUCAAAGGGAAUAGACGGGGACCCGCACAAGCGGUGGAGCAUGGGGUUUAAUUCGAAGAUACGCGAAGAACCUUACCUGGGCUUGAUAUCCUAAGAACCUUUUAGAGAUAAGAGGGUGCUAGCUUGCUAGAACUUAGAGACAGGUGCUGCACGGCUGUCGUCAGCUCGUGUCGUGAGAUGUUGGGUUAAGUCCCGCAACGAGCGCAACCCACGUAUUUAGUUGCUAACGGUUCGGCCGAGCACUCUAAAUAGACUGCCUUCGUAAGGAGGAGGAAGGUGUGGACGACGUCAAGUCAUCAUGGCCCUUAUGCCCAGGGCGACACACGUGCUACAAUGGCAUAUACAAUGAGACGCAAUACCGCGAGGUGGAGCAAAUCUAUAAAAUAUGUCCCAGUUCGGAUUGUUCUCUGCAACUCGAGAGCAUGAAGCCGGAAUCGCUAGUAAUCGUAGAUCAGCCAUGCUACGGUGAAUACGUUCCCGGGUCUUGUACUCACCGCCCGUCACACCAUGGGAGUUGAUUUCACUCGAAGCCGGAAUACUAAACUAGUACGUC